GACGAACGCUGGCGGCGUGCUUAACACAUGCAAGUCGAACGGAAAGGCCCUGCUUUUGUGGGGUGCUCGAGUGGCGAACGGGUGAGUAACACGUGAGUAACCUGCCCUUGACUUUGGGAUAACUUCAGGAAACUGGGGCUAAUACCGGAUAGGAGCUCCUGCUGCAUGGUGGGGGUUGGAAAGUUUCGGCGGUAGGGGAUGGACUCGCGGCUUAUCAGCUUGUUGGUGGGGUAGUGGCUUACCAAGGCUUUGACGGAUAGCCGGCCUGAGAGGGUGACCGGCCACAUUGGUACUGAGAUACGGCCCAGACUGCUACGGGAGGCAGCAGUGGGGAAUAUUGCACAAUGGGCGCAAGCCUGAGGCAGCAACGCCGCGGGCGGGAUGACGGCCUUCGGGGUGUAAACCGCUUUCGCCUGUGACGAAGCGUGAGUGACGGUAAUGGGUAAAGAAGCACCGGCUAACUACGUG
rnacentral:rRNA from 1 species